AAAUAUUUCAUUCACUUCAACAACUCUAUAGUAACUAUUUUCAUUCAUAUUUUCCUUCUCCCUUCUCUUUUUAUUUCUUUUCUUUUAAUAAGGAGUAUGUAUUGACAUGUAUACAUCUUUCUAAUUUUUUUCCAUUCAUUUUUUUCUUUUCUAUUUUUCUUUUCUUUUUCUACCAACUUCUGAAAUAUUACAAACAUAAUUAUUCAACCUCACAUAACUCCAAACAAGACUCUUUCAAUCCUUUGAAUAGGAUGCUACCAUUGUUUUUCACUUCUCGAUUUAUA
rnacentral:lncRNA from 1 species